rnacentral:rRNA from 1 species
UACGGGGGGGGCAAGCGUUGUUCGGAAUUACUGGGCGUAAAGGGCGCGUAGGCGGCCUGCUAAGUCGGAUGUGAAAUCCCUCGGCUCAACCGAGGAACUGCAUCCGAUACUGGCGGGCUUGAAUCCGGGAGAGGGAUGUGGAAUUCCAGGUGUAGCGGUGAAAUGCGUAGAUAUCAGGAGGAACACCGGUGGCGAAGGCGGGUCUCUGGGCCGUAACUGACGCUGAGGAGCGAAAGCAUGGGGAGCGAACAGG